UGGGGAAUUUUGGACAAUGGGGGCAACCCUGAUCCAGCGACGCCGCGUGAAGGAUGAAGGUCUUCGGAUUGUAAACUUCUUUUGGAGGGGAUGAAUGUCUGCGUGAAUAACGCAGAGUGACAGUACUCUCUGAAUAAGCCACGGCUAACUACGUGCCAGCAGCCGCGGUAAUACGUAGGUGGCAAGCGUUACUCGGAAUCACUAGGCGUAAAGCGCAGGUAGGAGGUUUGGUAAGUCUGUUGUGAAAGCUCCCGGCUUAACUGGGAGAGGUCAACGGAAACUACUAGGCUAGAGUGCGGUAGAGGUAGCUGGAAUUCCCGGUGUAGCGGUGAAAUGCGUAGAUAUCGGGAGGAAUACCUAUGGCGAAAGCAGGCUACUGGACCGUCACUGACUCUGAUCUGCGAAAGCUAGGGGAGCAAACAGGAUUAGAUACCCCCGUAGUCC
rnacentral:rRNA from 1 species